rnacentral:lncRNA from 1 species
CCGUUGAUGUGUAUUUUAAAAAGUGUUGCAUGACCUUGAAGGGAUUUUUCGAUCCAAGUUAGUGGUUGGUGGAAGGGAUGGACUGGUUGAGUCGCAUAUGGUAAAGGAUGUUGAGUCAUUGGAGGAGGAAAUGGGGGAGAGUUGUUCAUGUUGGAUGAUAGGUAUGGACGAGAGAGCGGAGAAAGCCAGACUCAUGGACGUACUAAUA